UACGAAGGGGGUGAGCGUUGUUCGGAUUUACUGGGCGUAAAGGGCGCGCAGGCGGUUCUGUUUGUCGAGUGUGAAAGCCCCGGGCUCAACCUGGGAACUGCGCUCGAAACGGCGGAACUAGAGUUCGGGAGAGGAGAGUGGAAUUCCCAGUGUAGAGGUGAAAUUCGUAGAUAUUGGGAAGAACACCGGUGGCGAAGGCGGCUCUCUGGACCGAUACUGACGCUGAGGCGCGAAAGCGUGGGGAGCAAACAGG
rnacentral:rRNA from 1 species